AUGACGGUCCUAUGGAUUGUAAACUGCUUUUAUACGAGAAGAAACACUGCUUCGUGAAGCAGCUUGACGGUAUCGUAAGAAUAAGGAUCGGCUAACUCCGUGCCAGCAGCCGCGGUAAUACGGAGGAUCCAAGCGUUAUCCGGAAUCAUUGGGUUUAAAGGGUCCGUAGGCGGUUUAAUAAGUCAGUGGUGAAAGCCCAUCGCUCAACGGUGGAACGGCCAUUGAUACUGUUAAACUUGAAUUAUUAGGAAGUAACUAGAAUAUGUAGUGUAGCGGUGAAAUGCUUAGAGAUUACAUGGAAUACCAAUUGCGAAGGCAGGUUACUACUAAUGGAUUGACGCUGAUGGACGAAAGCGUGGGUAGCGAACAGGAUUAGAUACCCUGGUAGUCCACGCCGUAAACGAUGGAUACUAGCUGUUGGAAGCAAUUUCAGUGGCUAAGCGAAAGUGAUAA
rnacentral:rRNA from 1 species